rnacentral:rRNA from 1 species
GACGAACGCUGGCGGCGUGCUUAACACAUGCAAGUCGAGCGAGAGAAAUUCCUUCGGGAAGGACUCUAGCGGCGGACGGGUGAGUAACACGUGGGUAACCUGCCUCAUAGAGGGGCAUAGCCUUUCGAAAGGAAGAUUAAUACCGCAUAAGAUUGUAGUAUAGCAUGAUGCAGCAAUUAAAGGAGUAAUCCGCUAUGAGAUAGACCCGCGUCGUAUUAGCUAGUUGGUGAGGUAACGGCUCACCAAGGCGAAGAUGCGUAGCCGACCUGAGAGGGUGAUCGGCCACAUUGGGACUGAGACACGGCCCAGACUCCUACGGGAGGCAGCAGUGGGGAAUAUUGCACAAUGGGGGAAACCCUGAUGCAGCAACGCCGCGUGAGUGAUGACGGUCUUCGGAUUGUAAAACUCUGUCUUCAGGGACGAUAAUGACGGUACCUGAGGAGGAAGCCACGGCUAACUACGUGCCAGCAGCCGCGGUAA